ACAGAUGUGUCCGAAUGGUGAGGAAGCUGAUUGUAAAUCAGUGCUUUAUGCAAUGUAGGUUCGAUUCCUACCAUCCAUA